rnacentral:rRNA from 1 species
UACCGAGGUCUCAAGCGUUGUUCGGAUUCAUUGGGCGUAAAGGGUGCGUAGGUGGCGGGGUAAGUCAGGUGUGAAAUCUCGGGGCUCAACCCCGAAACUGCAUUUGAUACUGCCUUGCUCGAGUACUGGAGAGGAGAUUGGAAUUUACGGUGUAGCAGUGAAAUGCGUAGAUAUCGUAAGGAAGACCAGUGGCGAAGGCGAAUCUCUGGACAGUUACUGACACUGAGGCACGAAGGCCAGGGGAGCAAACGGG